UGGGGAAUGAAACUAUUCUUUAUCGAAUGGAAUUUGGGCUAGUAUGUCGACCGGAAAAGCAUUCAGAUGUCAAAACAAUGUCCGACCGUACCGCAAACCAACACAGGUACCCAGGUCGAGUAGACCGAGGCGUGCGAGAGAACCCUUGUUAAGGAACUCGGCAACAAAAGCGACCGUAACUUCGGGAUAAGGUCUCCCUGCUUUUGCAGGGCGCAGUUAAUGAGUCCACGCGACUGUUUACCAAAAACACAGGUCUCUGCUAACACGAAAGUGGAUGUAUAGGGGCUGACGCCUGCCCGGUGCCGGAAGGUUAAGGAAGGGGGGUGUAUGCUUCCGACUGAAGCCCCGGUGAACGGCGGCCGUAACUAUAACGGUCCUAAGGUAGCGAAAUUCCUUGUCGGGUAAGUUCCGACCCGCACGAAUGGCGCAACGAUGUGGACGCUGUCUCAACAAGGGACUCGGUGAAAGUGCAUUGGCGGUAAAGAUGCCGUCUGUCCGCAUCAGGACGAGAAGACCCCGUGGAGCUUUACUACAGCUUGACAUUGAGUCGAGUGGCAGUUUGUGCAGGAUAGGUGGGAGACUUUGAAGCAGAUACGCUAGUAUUUGUGGAGUCGCCCGUGAAAUACCACCCCUGCUGUCAUUUGGCUCUUACGUGUGCCGUUAUCCGGUACGCGGACCGUGUCUGGUGGGUAGUUUAACUGGGGCGGUUGCCUCCUAAAGAGUAGCGGAGGCGUUCAAAGGUCAGCUUAGCUCGGAUGGAAAUCGAGUGGAAAGUGUAAGCGCACAAGCUGGCUUGACUGCGAGACCUACAAGUCAAGCAGGCACGAAAGUGGGAGCUAGUGACCCGCUGUCAGUACAUUUGUACAUGAGUGUGGUAUCGACAGCGCAAACGGAUAAAAGUUACCCCGGGGAUAACAGGCUUAUCGCGCCCAAUAGUUCACAUAGACGGCGCGGUUUGGCACCUCGAUGUCGGCUCAUCACAUCCUGGGACUGAAGCAGGCCCCAAGGGUUCGGCUGUCCGCCGAUUAAAGUGGUACGCGAGCUGGGUUCAGAACGUCGUGAGACAGUUCGGUUUAUAUCCGAUGCGGACGAAAGGAAAUUUGAGAGGACUUGCUUCUAGUACGAGAGGACCGAAGUGAACAUACCUCUGGUGUAUCAGUUGUCGUGUCAACGGCACUGCUGAGUAGCUAUGUAUGGAACGGAUAAGCGCUGAAAGCAUCUUAAGCACGAAACCAACCUCAAGAUUAGAUUUCCCUAUGAGAUCCCAGAUAGAUGAUCUGGUUGAUAGGCGCAAGGUGUACGCAUAGUAAUAUGUUUAGCCGAAGCGUACUAAUGAUCCAUUGUCUU
rnacentral:rRNA from 1 species